AAUCUUGAUUAUGCUUUGAGAAUGUUUUUGCAGGAAUAAUUCAAGACUUCAAGACUCCAUGUCUAAGUCAUAGAGUUUGUAUUAAGGGUGUAAAAGUGUAAAUUUCGUUUUUUUUUGAAUUGAUCAUGCAGGAGAUUAUCGUUUGGUGAUUGCGAUGAUCUUCUUUUUAUGAUUUAUUAGUUGUAUACGAACUUUGUAGUAUAUUUUGUCACGAAAUCACCAAAGGGGGAGAUUGUUAAGGAUUUUAUAGGUUGGCGAAUUUCGUAAAGUUGUUUGGAGUCUUGAAGAGUUGAUCGCAGAAGUUUUUGAGAAGAGAUUCAAAUUGGAGGACGAAGACUCAUUCGGAAAGAUCGACACCUAAGGUAUGAAGAAAAGAUCAUUUGUGGUGAAGAUACAUAAUUAGAAUAAGUUCAGAAGGCUUAGAUUGCUUUAAAACAACUUUUCUGAACUUUCAUGUGUUCUGGGACCGGUCCCUGAGAUGGAGAGACCGGUUCCCCUAAGGUCCUCACUGCGUAAACCGUGAUGCAACCGGUCCCCUGUGAUGAGAGACCGGUUCCCGAACCAUGGUGCUUCUGUCGCGCAGCGAGGGACCGGUCUCAAGUUUGAGAGACCGGUUCCCGAACGUUGGGUUUUUGGUCACGCAGAGAGGGACCGGUUCCUCACUUGAGAGACCGGUCUCUCACAGACCGGUCUCCUCGAGAGGACCGGUCUCUGAGGACGA
rnacentral:lncRNA from 1 species